UACGGGAGGCAGCAGUGGGGAAUAUUGGACAAUGGGCGAAAGCCUGAUCCAGCCAUGCCGCAUGAGUGAAGAAGGCCUUCGGGUUGUAAAGCUCUUUUAGUGAGAAAGAUAAUGACGGUACUCACAGAAGAAGUCCUGGCUAACUCCGUGCCAGCAGCCGCGGUAAUACGGAGAGGGCUAGCGUUAUUCGGAAUUAUUGGGCGUAAAGAGCGCGUAGGCUGAUUAGUAAGUUAAAAGUGAAAUCCCAAAGCUUAACUUUGGAAUUGCUUUUUAAAACUGCUAGUCUAGAGAUUGAAAGAGGAUAGAGGAAUUCCUAGUGUAGAGGUGAAAUUCGUAAAUAUUAGGAGGAACACCAGUGGCGAAGGCGUCUAUCUGGUUCAAAUCUGACGCUGAGGCGCGAAGGGCGUGGGGAGCGAAACAGGGAUUAGGAUACC
rnacentral:rRNA from 1 species